AGAGUUUGAUCUGGCUCAGGAUGAACGCUAGCGGCAGGCUUAAUACAUGCAAGUCAAGGGGUCAGCAAUGACACCGGCGGACGGGUGAGUAACGCGUACACAACGUACCUUUAACUGGGGGAUAGCAUUUGGAAACGAGUGGUAAUACCGCAUGUGGUUGUAGGGAGGCAUCUUUUUGCAACUAAAACUCAGGUGGUUAAAGAUCGGUGUGCGUCCGAUUAGCUUGUUGGUGAGGUAAUGGCUCACCAAGGCGACGAUCGGUAGGGGCGUGAGAGCGUGAACCCCCACACGGGUACUGAGACACGGACCCGACUCCUACGGGAGGCAGCAGUAAGGAAUAUUGGUCAAUGGAGGCAACUCUGAACCAGCCAUGCCGCGUGAAGGAAGAAGGCGCUAUGCGUUGUAAACUUCUUUUGGGUGGGAAGAAGAUGGUCAAUUUAUUGGCAACUGACGGUACCAUCAGAAUAAGCACCGGCUAACUCCGUG
rnacentral:rRNA from 1 species